rnacentral:tRNA from 1 species
CGCGGGAUGGAGCAGUCUGGUAGCUCGUCGGGCUCAUUACCCGAAGGUCGUAGGUUCAAAUCCUGCUCCCGCAA